UAAUUAAUAUAUGCUGGCAAAUUUUAUUGGGCACAGCUCCAAAUUUUACAUAUGGGUCCUCUUAAUGAUAAUCCAGCUAUUACAUUAUUGGCCAUGGAUUUUUGAAGAAAAGAGUAGUCAGAACUCCUUUUCAGUCCACUCAGCAGGAGAUGUAUGCAACUAUGCUAGUUCUUACUUAUUAUCCAGGAGAUAUAAAUAGAAUAUCUGAUUCAGCCCAUUCAGUAGAUGUGGUUCAAAGAAUUGCCACAGCUCAGAUAAAAUUUGUAGCCUAUACCGUAUUUCAGCUUUUUAAGGAACUUCAAGAGCAAGUGAGAAAACAUCCAGGUAAGGAUUACCUCUUCCACAUUCACUCUCAUACUGGUAUUCUAGCAACUAUUUUUCUUGGAAACUCAAAAGGCAGAUCAUUUUCUCACCAUGUUAGCCAACAUUCCCUAAUUCAGCCCGCUCAAGAAUUCCAUUUUAAAUACCAGCAGGCUGCUCGAGCUUUAUGUUUACAAUUUGGAAUAACAAGAAAGGAAGUUAGGAGCAUAGUUAAAGCCUGUGCAGCUUGCCUUCCUUUCCAGGCUCCUAUGCUCCCUCCAGGGAAGAACCCUCAUGGUUUGAGACCCAAUGAAAUUUGGCAAAUGGAUAUGACCCAUUAUAAAUCUUUUGGUUGUCUGUCUUUUAUCCAUGUUGUGGUAGACACUUUUUCAGGAAUCACUUUUGCAAAACCAGCAACAAAAGAGACAGGCUGAGUGGUCACUGAAUUUGUUAUACAAGCUUGUGCAAUCAUGGGUGUGCCAAAAGCAAUAAAAACAGAUAAUGGACUUGCAUAGACUUUUAUUUAUUUAUUUAUUUAUUUAUUUAUUUAUUUUGCUGAGGCAAUUGAGGUUAAGUGACUUGCCCAGGGUCACACAGCUGGGAAGUGUUAAGUGUCUGAGACCAGAUUUGAAUUCAGAUCCUCCUGACUUCAGGGCUGGAGCUCAAUCCACUGUGCCACCUAGCUGCCCCUCUGCAUAUACUUCUAAACAUUUUGCACACUUUUUUUGCACAGUAUCAGGUUUCACACACCACUGGCAUACCCUUCAAUCCUUGAGGACAACAAAUACUGAAGAGAAGGAACAGAGACAUCCAGAUGCUUCUCCAAAAACCAGAGAGGGGGAGCUACAGAUAACCCUAGAGAAUUUCUAAACACAGCUAGUUUCUCCUAUUAAAAUGUAAACUUUCUGUACAGGGACUGUCUUGCUUUUUAUAUUUGUAACUCGAGUGCUUAGCAAAAGACAUAGAUUGAGGGCUUAAAUUCUGAUUCAUUAACUUUUCAUUAUUUUUAUUCAAAUUGAUUUUUUAUAUUAGGCUAAUUCAUCAGCUUGACACCUAUACUUAAAAUUUUAUUUAGGGAUAUGUGAUAGCAUAGCUUUCACUCCUUCCUUCCAUUUUGUUUCCUCUGAAUUCCUCAGUAUCUCACCCUCUAUAGUUUUUCCUAAAUUUGGGCUUAAGUAAGGUCCUAAUUAAUGAAAUAAUGAAUUACAUAAAGGGGUCCUAUGCCUUCUAGGUGUCAUUAUUCAGUUAUUAUUAUGAAAAAUAUAUCCACUAGCUACAGCCCAAUGGAAAAAUGCAAUGUGAAUGUGAAGCAUGUACGCAUCUAUGAGAUUCAUUCUGCACACUAACCAGGAUCUGGCUAUAAUUCUCUAUAGACUCAACUUUGGUCAAUAUAGGUGGACAGCUGUCUUUUUUUACCUUCCUUUAAAGCUUUUCAGGUUAUAUUUACAAAACUCCAAAAAAAAUCUCCUCACCAGCUUUCCUUAUAUGUAAUGUUUCCUUUGUUGCAAUUUACAGGUCACACAAGCAGCUUUGUUUAACUGUAAGGACAUCCUGUUGUUGUUAUUUUAAGCUAGAUCUGUUCCAGAAACCAAUGGAUCAAUGAAAAAUAUCUCAUUUUGCAAACUAUUCAUCAUGAUCAGGUUGAAGUCAUUAAAUUUAUUUCAUCAAUGCAAGCAUUAUUUAACAUUACAUAAUCUCUUAGCAUUAUGAAUUUGUUGAGCAAUGAUUACAGUCACCAUCAUCUCAACAGGUAGAACAUGCUUACAACAUUCAGCAUUCAUUUAUGUUUAAAUCACAGGCUUAAAAGGAUCUUUCCACAAUAGCAUGCAGAGUAUGUGUGUCAAAGGUACAAUUAGCAUGCUGAGUAAGGGACCCACACUGGAAGCUUUCCUUUGGGAAGCAGCCUGGAUGUCCUGUGUCUCAAUUCUAAUUUUCUUUCUACUAGCAAUAAGAGCAACAAGAGAGUAAAAGUAGAAUAGGGAUGCAAAGGAGGAGCCAGAAUUAUCAUUUGUUGAUCAUAUAUGGGUGAAUUAGAGAACACCAGAUAUCCUCCAUCUCAGCAUUGAUCCCAUGGGAACAGAUCCUGGUCCAUCUCCUUCAUCUUCUCUUUGUACUGCUUGUUGAAUGUUUCCAUUUGAGUCACUGUGAAGUGGUUUUUCCAGUCUCCACAGAUUCCUGUCACAUAUGAAAUGAGAGCAACAGGUGCUUGGGUCAUGUCCUUAGUGAUCAUUUUUUCCCAUCCCUUUCUCCUUCCCCCUUGACUCAGGAAGGAGUCAUGGGUAGACUGCAGUGACUGAUAUUUAUGGGAUAGCACCCUCCCCUGCAACCAGGGAGUUCUUCUCUUCAUCCUUAAAUCAUUCAUGCAGUAUUGACAGGAAGGCUUACCUCUUCCUCUUACUCCUCCUCUGUUUGUUUUUCCUCACUUACAGGAAAACCUGAUAGAGGUUUUCUUGGAAACUCAUGCAUUCUAUCUCUGAGUGUGUCAUUGCAUAAAAAUAUACUAAAGUCUAUUAGAUUAACGGGACAAAUUCUUUGGCUGCCUCUUUUCUGUCCUACUGUUUUGUGCUGUAUACCUUCUCUGAUUCUGUUUCUGACUGCCUAGAUGUCAAUUGGGAUGUGGGGGAGGGGAGGCUAACCACCUACUUAACUCUCUAGUGGUCCUAGACCAUUGCUUCUCACCUUUUCUCAUCAAAACAAUUUUGACAGAUUCAGUAUUUUUUAUAGGCAUAGGUUCUUUGUUUUCCAGGAUGUGCUUUUUCAUGACUUGGAAGGAAGCAUUCUUCAUGACUGAAUUGAUUUCUUCCUCACUCAGCUCCUUGCCCAAGAAUUGGCAAAGUUUUUCCACACUGACCUUAAGAUUCUAGAAAAACAUACAACAACCUGUAAUAGUGGGAUGAAAAUGUCUUAGAGAAAGAAAAGGAGGGAAAGGGGGAGGUGAAAAGUGUAAGAGAAGAAGAAACAGGGAUUUUAGAUAAAGAGAGAAAGAAUAAUCUGAAAGGAAAGAUGUGAGGGAAAGAGUGAAAGCACUAAGUACAGGGAGAAAAGAGAUUGGAGUUGGUACUAGGGAGUAGUGGGAAUGGGAAGGAGGACAAAAUCUGAAGCAGGAAGGCAAAGGCAAUCAAGUAGAGAAGAAGAGAAAGAAGAAAAUUUGAAGGUAGAGUAGAGAAGAGGAAUGGAGGUAAACUAAGAAAUUAUGGUGAGUGGAUGAAGAGCUGGUAUGGGAGGUGGAGAUAAAGAACAGAAGAAAAGAGAAGAACUGAAGCAAAUAAAAAAAGAAGAAAACAGUAGGAACAGAUGAGGAGAAAAGGGAAAAGUAAACAGAAGCGCUAGAGGAAAAAAGCAGGAAAAUAGAGGCAAAGACAAAGGAAGAAACAACAAAAUGGAGAGAUGGAGAAAAAGAAAGAAAUUAAAUGAAAAUAGAAAGAAGAGUUGAAGAAAAAGAAAUGAAGAAAGAAAAUAGAAGGAAGAGAUGGAGGAAAAGAAAAAGGAAAAUAGGGACAAGAAAUGUAGGGAAAGAAAGAAAGAAAAACUGGAAGAAGAGAUGGAGUUAAAGGAAACAGAAAAAAGGAAAAUAUAUUGGAGUAAAAGGAAAAAAGAAAAAAAAAGGAGAGAAAUGAAAAAGGUAGAAAAGGAGGUAGAAGAAAAGACAGAAAGGAAGAGAAAACAGGAAAAAAGAGACAAAGAGAAAGAAAGAAAACAGGAAGAAGAUAUGAAGGGGAAAAGUAAGAAAGA